UGGGGAAUUUUGGACAAUGGGCGCAAGCCUGAUCCAGCCAUGCCGCGUGCGGGAAGAAGGCCUUCGGGUUGUAAACCGCUUUUGUCAGGGAAGAAAUCUUCUGAGUUAAUACCUCGGGAGGAUGACGGUACCUGAAGAAUAGGCACCGGCUAACUACGUGCCAGCAGCCGCGGUAAUACGUAGGGUGCAAGCGUUAAUCGGAAUUACUGGGCGUAAAGCGUGCGCAGGCGGUUUUGUAAGACAGAGGUGAAAUCCCCGGGCUCAACCUGGGAACUGCCUUUGUGACUGCAAGGCUUGAGUGCGGCAGAGGGGGAUGGAAUUCCGCGUGUAGCAGUGAAAUGCGUAGAUAUGCGGAGGAACACCGAUGGCGAAGGCAAUCCCCUGGGCCUGCACUGACGCUCAUGCACGAAAGCGUGGGGAGCAAACAGGAUUAGAUACCCUGGUAGUCCACGCCCUAAAACGAUGUCAACUGGUUGUUGGGAAGGUUCCUUCUCAGUAACGUAGCUAACGCGUGAAGUUGACCGCCUGGGGAGUACGGCCGCAAGGUUGAAACUCAAAUGAAUUGACGGGGUCAUAGCUGUUU
rnacentral:rRNA from 1 species